rnacentral:rRNA from 1 species
CAUUGUUAUUACGAUACCAUCCUGAACAUACCUGAUCUUGUCCAGUUUUGGAAGCUAAGCAGGGCUGGUCUAGUUAAUACAUGAAUAGAAUACCACAAGGUAAUCUUUAGAUAGAGCUAGGA